GACGAACGCUGGCGGCGUGCUUAACACAUGCAAGUCGAACGGAAAGGCCCUGCUUUGUGGGGUGCUCGAGUGGCGAACGGGUGAGUAACACGUGAGUAACCUGCCCUUGACUUUGGGAUAACUUCAGGAAACUGGGGCUAAUACCGGAUAGGAGCUCCUGCUGCAUGGUGGGGGUUGGAAAGUUUCGGCGGGUGGGGAUGGACUCGCGGCUUAUCAGCUUGUUGGUGGGGUAGUGGCUUACCAAGGCUUUGACGGGUAGCCGGCCUGAGAGGGUGACCGGCCACAUUGGGACUGAGAUACGGCCCAGACUCCUACGGGAGGCAGCAGUGGGGAAUAUUGCACAAUGGGCGGAAGCCUGAUGCAGCAACGCCGCGUGCGGGAUGACGGCCUUCGGGUUGUAAACCGCUUUCGCCUGUGACGAAGCGUGAGUGACGGUAAUGGGUAAAGAAGCACCGGCUAACUACGUG
rnacentral:rRNA from 1 species